rnacentral:rRNA from 1 species
CCCUUAGACGUUCUGGGCCGCACGCGCGCUACACUGACCAGUGCAACAAGCAUCCGUCCUUGGCCGACAGGCCCGGGCAAUCUUUGAACGCUGGUCGUGAUGGGGAUAGACUUUUGCAAUUUUUGGUCUUCAACGAGGAAUUCCUAGUAAACGCAAGUCAUCAACUUGCAUUGAUUACGUCCCUGCCCUUUGUACACACCGCCCGUCGCACCUACCGAUUGAACGUUUUAGUGAGGUAUUUGGACUGGACCUUCGGAGGUUCGCGCCUCCGUUGCUGUUCGGGAAGACUCCCAAACUUGAGCGUUUAGAGGAAGUAAAAGUCGUAACA